rnacentral:rRNA from 1 species
CGUAGCGCAGACUACACAUGCAGUCGAGCGGUAGCACAGAGAGCUUGCUCUCGGGUGACGAGCGGCGGACGGGUGAGUAAUGUCUGGGAAACUGCCUGAUGGAGGGGGAUAACUACUGGAAACGGUAGCUAAUACCGCAUAAUGUCGCAAGACCAAAGUGGGGGACCUUCGGGCCUCAUGCCAUCAGAUGUGCCCAGAUGGGAUUAGCUAGUAGGUGGGGUAACGGCUCACCUAGGCGACGAUCCCUAGCUGGUCUGAGAGGAUGACCAGCCACACUGGAACUGAGACACGGUCCAGACUCCUACGGGAGGCAGCAGUGGGGAAUAUUGCACAAUGGGCGCAAGCCUGAUGCAGCCAUGCCGCGUGUGUGAAGAAGGCCUUCGGGUUGUAAAGCACUUUCAGCGGGGAGGAAGGCGUUAAGGUUAAUAACCUUGGCGAUUGACGUUACCCGCAGAAGAAGCACCGGCUAACUCCGUGCCAGCAGCCGCGGUAAUACGGAGGGUGCAAGCGUUAAUCGGAAUUACUGGGCGUAAAGCGCACGCAGGCGGUCUGUCAAGUCGGAUGUGAAAUCCCCGGGCUCAACCUGGGAACUGCAUUCGAAACUGGCAGGCUAGAGUCUUGUAGAGGGGGGUAGAAUUCCAGGUGUAGCGGUGAAAUGCGUAGAGAUCUGGAGGAAUACCGGUGGCGAAGGCGGCCCCCUGGACAAAGACUGACGCUCAGGUGCGAAAGCGUGGGGAGCAAACAGGAUUAGAUACCCUGGUAGUCCACGCCGUAAACGAUGUCGAUUUUGGGAGGUUGUGCCCUUGAGGCGUGGCUUCCGGAGCUAACGCGUUAAAUCGACCGCCUGGGGAGUACGGCCGCAAGGUUAAAACUCAAAUGAAUUGACGGGGGCCCGCACAAGCGGUGGAGCAUGUGGUUUAAUUCGAUGCAACGCGAAGAACCUUACCUGGUCUUGACAUCCACAGAACUUUGCAGAGAUGCUUUGGUGCCUUCGGGAACUGUGAGACAGGUGCUGCAUGGCUGUCGUCAGCUCGUGUUGUGAAAUGUUGGGUUAAGUCCCGCAACGAGCGCAACCCUUAUCCUUUGUUGCCAGCGGUUCGGCCGGGAACUCAAAGGAGACUGCCAGUGAUAAACUGGAGGAAGGUGGGGAUGACGUCAAGUCAUCAUGGCCCUUACGACCAGGGCUACACACGUGCUACAAUGGCAUAUACAAAGAGAAGCGACCUCGCGAGAGCAAGCGGACCUCAUAAAGUAUGUCGUAGUCCGGAUUGGAGUCUGCAACUCGACUCCAUGAAGUCGGAAUCGCUAGUAAUCGUAGAUCAGAAUGCUACGGUGAAUACGUUCCCGGGCCUUGUACACACCGCCCGUCACACCAUGGGAGUGGGUUGCAAAAGAAGUAGGUAGCUUAACCUUCGGGAGGGCGCUUACCACUUUGUGAUUCAUGACUGGGGUGAAGUCUACGAGACU